UCCACAGUGUGUAGAGGCAACCCAGCCUCUAAGGUGGGCCCCAUACACCUGCCUCUAAGCCAAUGCAUCCUUCCCGCAAUGUGAGCCUCUAAGCCCAUGGGCCCACCAGCUGCCUCUAACCACCGAACACUCUUCCCUUCGCGCAAAAAAAUCCCCAAUCGAUUCCAAUCCCUAGCGGCUGCAGGAACCACGCCAUCGUCUCGACCGUCUCCGGCGACCAGGCGAACCAAAUACCUCGCGCGAGGCCGGACGACGGAGGCGGUUGAUCUAGCAGCUGGAUGUGGACUGCUGGUGGUGGCGGGGGGUGCAGCAAAUGCGCCGGCAAGUGCGUCGAGGCGCAGCCGCCGGUCUAUUCCUGCUGACCAACUGCGCCGGCGAUGCCGAGGAAGCGCUACGCUGAUAGCGGCGGCAGCGGCGUUGUGCGAGUACUAGGCGCAGGUCUGGAGCAUGGGCGGGUUCACGCGGAAGCACAAGGUUGCUUGAAGAAGAGUCGGCCUUUGCUGGUGCCUUUCCUUUGCGUUUUGCGCCCUUCUGUCCCGGAGGACGACGUUCCAAUUGUCUGUCCACUGAUUCUUCAGCAUCUUUACUAGAAGAAGAAAUGAGGCUGAGGCGAAUAAUGAAAAUAUCCGGCAUCUUGGUUGAUCCUAGCAUGUGGAUCAAUCCCGGUGAAGCCGGCGGCUGCAGAAGAUGAAUGACCAUAUGAACCUCCUCCAUACACUCCAUGUGCUGCUUGGAAACCUGAGGUAUGUGGAGGUGGAAAUGAAUACAUGUUUUGUGCAUACAUGGGAUGCAAAUAUUGCCCAUGCUGAGAGGAUGAAGCACUUGUGAACUGGUGAGGUGGGGUGGCAGAUGGGGUAUAGUUUCGAUUUUCUGGAUCUUGGCUUGAGCAAUUAUUGAGCAUCCUAGUGAAACUUCCUGGAGAGUGCUCCAUGAAUGUGAAGUUUUUUGAGGUGUCUAGGCUCCCAGUUGGUUUGGGUGUGUGUAAACUUAUUGUUCAAAGCCCUAGUAUAUAUACUGAUAGAUGUGUGUAUGCACACACUUGUUGUAACGGCCAUAAUUUGUUGUUUAUUAUUAUUUUUAAAUGCAACGGUUGUAUUGGAUUGGAUGUGUAUGCUCAGAACAA